rnacentral:lncRNA from 10 species
GAGGAACGCAGCUGCUCACCAGCAACGGAACAAAGCUGGACGGAGAAUGACUUUGAAGAGCUGAGAGAAGGCUUCAGACGAUCAAAUUACUCUGAGCUACGGGAGGACAUUCAAACCAAAGGCAAAGAAGUUGAAAACUUUGAAAAAAAUAAAUGUACAUUAAUUAACGUGGAAUCUGGUGAACAGUAACAAACUUUGGUGAAAUUUCAGGAACCAUAGCCAUUGAAGUGGAUGAGGGAACCUAUAUACAUGCACUCAACAAUGGUCUUUUUACCCUGGGAGCUCCACACAAAGAAGAAUCGCCCUGAAACCUGGCUAUGGAAAAUAUCUUAGUAUAAAUUCAGAUGAACUUGUUGUUGGCGUUCAGAUGCAAUUGGACCAAGAGAACAAUGGGAACCAGUCUUUCAAAAUGUGAGUGCUGUUAUUGUUUAUAAAAACUUCCUGUCAGUUUAACACAAAGUCUGUAGCAGUCAAUAAUAAUAUAUUUAAAAAGAAAAAGUAGGAUGCAAUAGUACAAUACAUUAAAUUGGAAUAAAUCAGUAAGAACACAGAGCCUUAAAGAGAUCUCAAAAUAUAGUGCAACAAAAAUAGCUUUAGUACUUUUGCCCACAAUUAUUUCUGUAUACCCUUAGUGCCCGAUAUGGAUCUCAUUUCCAUUGAAGAACCAGUCAAUUUUAGGUCACAGAGUAGGAAAACAGAAUCGUUCCUAAGUAUCUUCUUUGUGGCAGAAAUCAUGGAUGCUUUCAGAAACUUUAGAGACUGUAAGCGAACAGUAGAGCUAGCUAAUACCAAGUUGUGACAAUUUGCUUAUAAAAUA